UUUUUAGUGUAAGUAUGCCCCAUGUAAUAUUUGGGGCAUAUUUAUACUAAAG
rfam:Ovis aries breed Texel chromosome 7, whole genome shotgun sequence.